UAUUGAGCUCCUCACUCUCAGGACCUCCCAUUGUUGGCUGGUAUUAACAGUGUCCUCCUGUGCUUCCUCAAACUUGGCUUUUUGUACCCUAGGCGACUGGAAAAACGAGGGAAAAGGAUGCAGUGGCCAGCAAGUGGAGGAGCUAAUUACAACUAACAGACCUUGGAGUGAGGGUUGCAAUCAGGUGAAUAAACUCUGAAUAAAGACGCAUGCUUGUGAUACUGGAUACUGGCAC